UGGGGAAUAUUGGACAAUGGGCGCAAGCCUGAUCCAGCCAUGCCGCGUGAGUGAUGAAGGCCUUAGGGUUGUAAAGCUCUUUCGCCGGUGAAGAUAAUGACGGUAACCGGAGAAGAAGCCCCGGCUAACUUCGUGCCAGCAGCCGCGGUAAUACGAAGGGGGCUAGCGUUGCUCGGAAUCACUGGGCGUAAAGCGCACGUAGGCGGAUCGUUAAGUCAGGGGUGAAAUCCUGGAGCUCAACUCCAGAACUGCCCUUGAUACUGGCGAUCUCGAGUUCGAGAGAGGUUGGUGGAACUCCGAGUGUAGAGGUGAAAUUCGUAGAUAUUCGGAAGAACACCAGUGGCGAAGGCGGCCAACUGGCUCGAUACUGACGCUGAGGCGCGAAAAGCGUGGGGAGCAAACAGGAUUAGAUACCCUGGUAGUCCACGCCGUAAACGAUGGAUACUAGCCGUUGGGGGGUUUACCUCUCAGUGGCGCAGCUAACGCCUUAAGCAUCCCGCCUGGGGAGUACGGUCGCAAGAUUAAAACUCAAAGGAAUUGACGGGGUCAUAGCUGUUUUCCU
rnacentral:rRNA from 1 species